CCCUUAGAUGUUCUGGGCCGCACGCGUGCUACACUGACCGGCGCAACAAGUUUCUUUCCUUGGCUCGAUAGGCCUGGGUAAUCUUUGAACGCCGGUCGUGAUGGGGAUAGAUCCUUGCAAUUUUUGAUCUUCAACGAGGAAUUCCUAGUAAAUGCGAGUCAUCAUCUCGCGUUGAUUACGUCCCUGCCCUUUGUACACACCGCCCGUCGCGCCUACCGAUUGAAUGGUCCGGUGAAGCCUCGGGAUUGCGAAUGCUUCGUGCGGACGCGAGAACUUGGCUAAACCUUACCAUUUAGAGGAAGGUGAAGUCGUAACA
rnacentral:rRNA from 1 species